rnacentral:snRNA from 1 species
UAUUUGUUCUUAUCAGUUUAAUAUCUGAUACGUUUGCUAUGUGAGAACUUUAUAUUAAAUGGAUUUUUGGAACAGGGAGAUGGACUAGGAGCUUGCUUCAUCCACUCCAUGUAUCAACCUGGUAUUGCAGUACUGUCGGGUACGGUGC